rnacentral:rRNA from 1 species
GGACUACUGGGGUUUCUAAUCCUGUUUGCUCCCCUUGCUCUCGCGCCUCAGCGUCAGUUGUUAACUAGAAAACCGCUUUCGCCACUGGUGUUCUUCCACAUAUCUACGCAUUUCACCGCUACACGUGGAAUUCCGUUUUCUCCGUCAACCCUCUAGACUUGUAGUUUCAAAUGCAGCUCCGAGGUUGAGCCCCGGAAUUUCACAUCUGACUUACCUAUCCGCCUACACGCCCUUUACGCCCAAUAAUUCCGAUUAAUGCUUGCACCCUACGUAUUACCGCGGCUGCUGGCAC